rnacentral:lncRNA from 1 species
UUUUGCUGCAGGCACUACUGGUGUGCCAGAGUGGGGGGCUGUCGUGGUGACAAAGUGUCAGUGGGCAGCUGGCAUCAGAUGGACAUUGCUGGGUGGUGAUAAAAUAUCUGUGUCUGAAUGUGUUCCCCCAGAGCGGCCCCUUCCCUUGGGGCCCAGAGUGAAAGAUGGGAAAUGUGUGAAAUUCUGUGAGGGCCUGAAGAAAGAGAUGUUUGGUACGAUGUCUCCUGCUGGUCUGAACUCUACCUCCACUGAAGGAUCUGUUACCUGCAUGUUUCUCUUCUGUGUCCAUGUCAGCUAUACCUGUGCAGAUACAAAUAAGGAGCAUUAAGGCGAAUGAAACUGGUCAGAUGAGCAGCACUGAGGGAUGCAAGGGCAGGUGAAGGACCAGGCUGGAGUGCACAGGGGACAGGAUGAAGUUACAGAUACUUACCUGAAGCUGCACGGGAAGGAGUCAAUGAGAGCUGUGGCAGAAACAGGAAGGCUGACAUGCGAAGUCAAAUGCAGAGUUGCUAUGCAUCUGAAAUUCGUUUGCAUACACUUGGAAGACAACAGAUUAUGCUGGAAAAUACUUCCUGCACUUCCACUUCAGUGCUGUUGCUCUGGGAUGGCAGGAUGGUGUUUCAAACAAAAGGUGCUGGCCAAAGUCCUGUGCUGAAAAGAGUGCAAUAUCCUUGAUGAAAUGGUAAGCCUGUUGGUAUAUGUGAUAUGUGGCAAGGGAAUCACAGAUAAUAUGUGAAUGUGUAUUACUACU